AGCAAUUGUCUAUCUUGUUUCAUUACAGUUUCGUCUGAUCGCCCCAUAAUUCUAGUUACACCAAGCUGUAGACGAUUUUUAGAAGCGGAGAGCUUGACCAUUAUGGAAACUGCACCCCACUUUUUUAAGAUAAUUCUUGACAAUACUAUCCGCCAGGGAAAACUUGGUAUUCCAAGAAAGUUUGUGAGAAAAUAUGGAAAUGAUUUGUCAAGUCCGGUAAUCCUUAGUGUUCCUAGUGGUGCUAUCUGGCGAGUAGAGUUGUUGAAGUGCGAUGGCGAUGUUUGGUUGGGACAAGGUUGGCAAGAUUUCUCGAAUUAUUACUCUUUGGAGCAUGGAAACUUUCUUGUUUUUAAAUAUGAGGGAGAUUGCCAAUUUCAUGUACUCAUAUUCAACAAGAGUGCUUCAGAGAUUGAGUACCCAUGUAAUAACAUCUACAAUGCAAAUCCUGAUCAUGAUGAACUCCAAGAUAACAAGAUUGAAGAAAAUGAAGAUGACACCUCUGUUGAAGCAUUAGAUGAUCAGUCACAAUGCAAGAAAAUGGGGGAGAAAUCAACAUUCCUAUGUGCUCAAUCUCGGAAGCUCAUGCAAUCAAGGUGCAAAAAGAAUGAGCAUAGGAAGGUGGGAACGCCAACUUCAUGUCCAAUUCCUUCUCAAGCUCUUGACGCUGCAAACAAGUUCAUAACAGAGUAUCCAUCUUUCAACGUUGUGCUGAAGCAAUAUCAUUUGGUGCACAGCUAUGUGGUUGUGCUACCAAGCUUUUUCUUAAGCCAUUUUGAGCGUAAAACACAGAAUAUAUUGCUUCAAAUUGCGGAUAGAAUGUGGCCUGUGAAGUUGAUCUGCCCUUCAGCUUGUAGAUUGUUCAUGUCAUUUGUAGAAACGCCAGCUGGUGGCUACUGCCAUCACUCUCAACUGGGAACUUAACAUAGGAAGAAUUCCUUGGCUUGGUCAGGACUCAGGUGGCUUUAAUGGUUGAUAUCAAAAUCAAUGCAUCAAUCUGUCUCUCUGUGAAUUAAUGAAACUGUAGUUGGUGGUACUAAUUUCACUGGGCUUGCAAGAGCAGAGGCAGCAGUAUUGCUGUUCCAAAUUAAUUGCUUCUUCUAAACCUGACAGCAAUUGUAAAUGCUCAGUGUUUCCUUUACAACUGUUCCAUUUGGAAAGUUUGCUUGUUUGACACUCUGCGAGCAGAAGUUGAAAUCUCAUCUUAGAACCAAUUUCUGUGCUCAAAAUGAAGAGGGAUUGUGCUGUUAUUCCUUUUUUGGCUGUUGAACAUGACUGAUGUGAUAAAGCUCUCUCCAAUGCCAUUCAUGCUAGUCUUUGGAUCCGUUUAAGUUAAUACUUUCAAUAAAAGAAGAUGGUUGCAGUGAAGUUUGUUAAACAACAUGGAAAUUGUCUAUCCCGUCCAGUAACUCUUGUGUCCCAAGUGGUGCUGCAUGGGAAGCUGAGUUGUUGGACAAUGAGGGAGAUACUUGGUUCGAAAAGGGUUGGAAAGAAUUUGCCGAGAUUCACUCUCUUGAGCACGGACAUACUGUAUUUUUUAGAUAUGUUGAAUAUUGUCAUUUCCAUGUGCUAAUCUGUAUUAAGUAUUAGACGCAGACCAUGCCAGUGAUGCCUUUGAAGUGAUAGGGCUUGGUAUAGAAGAAGAAGAACAAGAAGAUGGAAUUCAAUUUGGAGCACCAUAAGUGUGACGGCAAGGAAGCUACAAGGGCUGCUUCAUCUUUCAUUACUGCUCCAACACUUGAAGCUGCCAACAACUUCAUUGCAGAGUACCCGUCCUUUAUGAAGCUUUGCAGCCAUACCAUCUGGGGCGUGGCCAUGUUGUAGGAUAAAGAAUCAUAUUUUAGAUAGUAUGCAUGAUAGAUGCUCAUUAUUAAUGCCAUCAAGACAAAUUUUAUCA